rnacentral:misc_RNA from 1 species
AGCUGGUGUCUGCCAAGCUGAAGUUACUUGUCCGGUCUCUCCAUCAGACGGGAAUGCUUCCCAGGAGCCACUCCCCUUCGCUACAGGCCCAGAAAACAGAGCUAAUGCCAUUUUAUUGCCCUCGCCAUCAGCUGUCACUCCAUCAUCCUUCAAAUUCACCAAGUCUUCAGUUACCUGCUGAGCAUGUGGCCUUGGCUGUGGUACAGAUUGAGGAGGAGCAGGAGGAGGAGGUGUGUGAUUCUCGGGUGGUGGGAGAGCUUUAAUUUCAUUCAUGUCUGGUGCGUUCUCCUCUAUAACUGCUGAUGCACGCUCCACCCUAUUUAUCUCGGGGCUCCUUGGCCUAUUUGCCCUCUCUCUCAAGAAUCCCUCAAGUGUGCCCAAAAGCUUAUCAGUGAUGACUUGCACUUCUGGGAACUCGGAUGAUCUUGCA